UAAAGGGCCGCGGUAUUUUGACCGUGCGAAGGUAGCAUAAUCAGCAGUUCUUUAAUUGGGGGCUUGAAUGAAUGGUUGGAUGAGGUACUAGCUAUCUUUAUUUCAUUUUAUAAUUUAACUUUUAAGUGAAAAGGCUUGAAUUUAUUAAGGGGACGAUAAGACCCUAUAAAACUUUAUACGCUAUAUUAGAAUCUAGGAAUUAGGUUUAAACUAGAUUUUUAUAUUUGAUAUUUUGUUGGGGUGACAUAAAUAUAACUUUAACUGUUUGUAAAAUAUAAUACAAAUAAGUAUAAUAUGAUCCUUUUCUAAUGAUUAAGAGAUUAAGUUACUUUAAGGAUAACAGCGUAAUUUUCUUUGAGAGUUCUUAUCGACAAGGGCAGUUGCGAGAUCGAUGUUGAAUUAAAAUUUUAGUUAGGCGUAGCGGCUUUUCUGGUAGGUCUGUCCGACCUUUAAAAUUUUACGUGAUCUGA
rnacentral:rRNA from 1 species